GACGAACGCUGGCGGCGUGCCUAACACAUGCAAGUCGAGCGGGGGGAGUUCUUCGGCACGAACCUAGCGGCGGACGGGUGAGUAACACGUGGGCAACCUGCCUUGAGGAGGGGGAUAACAGGAUGAAAGUCCUGCUAAUACCGCAUAACCCGGUGCUGUCGCAUGAUGGCAUCGGCAAAGGAGCAAUCCGCCUCAAGAUGGGCCCGCGGCGCAUUAGCUAGUUGGUGGGGUAACGGCCUACCAAGGCGACGAUGCGUAGCCGACCUGAGAGGGUGAUCGGCCACAUUGGACCUGAGACACGGUCCAGACUCCUACGGGAGGCAGCAGUGGGGAAUAUUGCACAAUGGGCGAAAGCCUGAUGCAGCAACGCCGCGUGAGCGAUGAAGGCCUUCGGGUUGGAAAGCUCUGUCUUCGCUGACGAAAUCUGACGGUAAGCGAGGAGAAAGCCACGGCUAACUACGUG
rnacentral:rRNA from 1 species